CAUGUGCAGGACCUCAUGUACCCUUAUUUCUGUGUGACACAGAAAAGCAGCAACAGCUUUUAGGGAAGACACCAACAGAAGUUUCACCAGCAACCACAGAUACAUCUGAAGAGGCAUAUGCUCAUAGGCAGUGUAUCACCUAUUCCCUUUAUCCCCAUAUUUAAACCCACAAGCUAUAGAUAUAUCUUGAGUAAUGCGAUUUUUUCCUCUAUACUCAUUAGAUUUGCAUGUCGUCUGUGUAUUUAAGAUACUUUCAGCACUGGGCAUAUGUUUACUAAAAUCCAGAUAAUGAUGCUAUAAUUAUGAGACAGAUAAACAGAACCAUGCCAGAAAACACUGGUUGUUUUUGUUAACUUAUUUUUAUUCAGCUUUUGAAUUUUAAAUAAGUAUCUUUUCUUAGCAGAGGAAAAAAUGCAGGAGACAAAUAACACUUCUUAUAAAACAUUAUCCAUAGAUCAGUUUCUACUAAGUCAUUUUUCCAUUCAAAAGCCUCAUUCAUUUUUUUCAUGUUGAUUUUGUGGAAGUUAUUAAAUAGCUUUAACUACAAUACAAUUACAAGUGUUCAAGGGAAGCAAGAAGCUUUCAGUGGGAUACAACAUUGCUGUUUUUCUGAAGAUAGUCAGUUACAAUCAAGUAACUACAAAGACGACAAGAACAUUCACAUCUUCCUGUGAUUUCCAGAUGUGCUGAUUUUAAAAAAGAUUUAGGAAACUUAAGUACAUUGUUCAGCAUUGAUUCUAGUCCAGUCAAGUUUUGACUACAUAGUCUUGGCAAUGAUUUCCUCUAAUGUUUGCAGUAGUAUUUUUUUAUUUGUUCUACUAUUGCCAUUCUGUAUGUAACUUCCCUUAAUUUUAUCAUUACUGCAAUUAAUUGUCCUAGAUAUAGAAGAAUAUUGAAAGCAGAAUUUAGCUUAGACAAAUCAGACUCAAUUCGUAAGAUAUUCACCUCGGCACAAUCUCUGCUGAAAUGUUUAGAAGCUGCCUCUAGAGGAGAACUAAAAGCAAAGAGGGAUUUCAGAAAGAUGCCUGGGGAAAGAGCAAGUUUACCUAAUCACAUAUGCCACGCCAUAAUUGCUCUUAUUUCUCUGGGUUCAGCAGUAGUGUUGAGAGCUGUAGUAUUUGAUUUGAUUUGAUUUGAUUUGAUUUGAUUUGAUUGUACUACUACAGUGUAGUACAGCUACUCACUGUACCUCCCAUUCAAAAUAAAAAAGUGGAUUAAGCUACUGUAAGGUGAUAGGUGUCCAAAAUCUGAUUGAUAUCAGCAGCCUAAUGAAAAACCUUCUGCAAGUCUAAAAAAAUUUUGUCCUUAAUUUCAGUGAGUUUUAGAGCUAAGAUUUCUUUCCUCUUAGUUUCUACCAGCAGUGCCCUAACACCUGCUCACUACAUCUGAGUGUAUGAGAUGACAUGACUCUGUGACUUCCAGCUGUGUAGCCUACUGUAUCAAAACCUAAUCCAAGGAAGAGGAUAUACAGAUGUAACUUGAAUUCAGUGAGCUCCCCACAACAUAACUUUUAGAAGCAGAAGUCCUAGCUGCUCCCAUAUGAAACAAAACACCUUGCUGUUUACAAAAAUAUCAGGAAAAAAAAAAUUGUAAAUCCUCUUUGCCAAAAUGCACGAGAAGUGAAAAGCAUGUCAGUAAGAACAAUAAAAUAGAAAUGUAAAUAAACUGUAAAUGGAAAUAUAUUCUGGGGUUAAAAAAAUAGAAAAGGAGAGGAGGGCUAGACUGGGAGAACAGAGUGUGUACAAGGUGGGUAGAUACAGUCUAGGUUACUCUUCACCUUAUAGAUGAACAUUUCUGAGCAGCAAAGGAAGACAAAGAACAGCCUUAAUAAGAGGGAGCACAUGAAGGUCAAAAAACACAUGGGUCUUAGAGACUCAUUUACUGAUUUAAUCCAGCAUUUUGAAUUUACUAAAGCUUGAAAACAGACAUGCUGGAAACCAUUAGAAAAGAAUGCUGUGAAAGCCAAUGUAAGAAGCAACUUGAUAUGUUCAUUGAUGACAGCAUACGAGCAAAGAGACCUCCACCCAAGUAAUGUGUUUCAUUUUUACAUCAUUAGCCUGGAUGGAAUGAGGACAUGGUUGAGAUCUGAACACCAAUGAUCCCCACAGCCUGUAAGCAGGAAGAUCUAUACUUCUGAUGAACCUUGGGAAAUCAUAACGAAAGUGGUAUUUAGAUAGCAAUAUCCUAAAAAUCACAGAAAUCUGGAGCUAAACAGUGGGGAAAAUUGGAAGGAACAAAGAAAGAAGUGGAAAUCUAAUGAAUCAGAUGCCAGAAUUUGGUGCCUAAAGACAUUUGAUUUCUCAGUAACUUAAGAAAGCAAUAAGGUUCAGUGUAAAUCCUAUUGAAACUUAGAUUAUUGCUUUUGCCACUGAGCUCAUGUCUCGGUAGGGCUUUCUGCCUGAAUCAGACUCUAAUGUGAGACAUUUUAAUUGUGAUUGCUGGGCUGGCAGUAAACGGUGAGCCUAACAGGCUGGUAAUACUUAAAUCAAGCCAGUGAACUGGGAGAACAGGCAGAGCAGAGGGGAACACCAAAGAAGACAAGAAGUGACAAAGUAAUGAGUUACCUGCAGUCAAGGAGGAUGGUAGUUGCUGGUAGAAACAAGUAUAAGCGUGCCUCAAAGGAAAAGUUGAUGACUUUCUGCUUUGGGGUGGUUAUUUUUUUUAAAUGUAUUUCCAUAGUCUGUUGGCCUUGUGAUGGCCUGGCCUCAGCUAUCUCAGAAUUGGCUUUAGUUUAGUUUCAGUAAAUGAACACUGAUGUAGUAAAGUACAUAAGCUGGUGCUCAAGAAAAACUCAAACUCCUCCCAAAAGUCAAAACAUACUUUUCUCUCUCCAUUUUUUUUUUCUAUAUUAGAAAUGCUGAUUUGGGAAAAAUAAAGUUUCAUAACAAGGUUAAGCAAGUGAAUCCUAUCUUAUUUUAGAUGUAGGUUCAUGAUUUUCAUCUGUAUCUCUUGCUUUGGAUUCUUCUUGCCAAACAAGCCAUUGCAAUACAUUCAGAAUCCUGCAGAGUUUAAGAUAUGUGCUCAUUAUAUCCUGUAGUAGUCAAAUACUUACUUAAAAAUAAUUUUCCCUUCUAUUUCAGACACUAAAAUCUCUGCUGAACUAUAUAGAAAUCGGUAAAGUGAAGCAAAGAAGAAAAGGUGGCUGCACAGGUUCUUUCCUUAGAAAAGGAGAAUGCUUCUUUUUUCUCCAUGGCCAAAUGCAGGCUUCUCCUUAUUUCUUUCUAGAGCCAUAUAUACCAGGACGAACAAGGAAAUUUAUCUGAAGCAGGGAACACUGCAAAAACUACUGUUUUAUAAAUGACAGAGGUCAAAAAGACCUAAAGUUGCCUAAUCCAACAUCCUUGCAAAGUAGGGGCAACUAGAGCAGGUGGCUCCAGUCAAGUUUUGAGUAUCUCUGAAGAUGGAGACCCCUCAACUUCUCUGAGCAACUUGUCCCAGUGUUCAACACCUGUACAGUAUGAAAGUUAUCUCAUGAUUAAAUGGAAUUUCUUGUACCUCACCUUGGGCCCCUUGCCUCCUGUCCUUUUAUUAGGCACCAUUGAGAAGAGUCUUGCUCUGUCUUCUUUGUCCGUAUCUCCUUCAAGCAUUUAGACACAUUGAAAAGACCCCCUCUGGGUCUCCUUGUCUAAAUGAGGAGUCUUAGCUCUAUUGGCCUCUAUUCAUAUGAUGCAUGUUCUAGUACCUCAAUCAUCUUCACACUCCUUUGACAAACUCCAGUACAUCCGUAUUACUCUUGCCCAGAACUGGACCCCACACUCCAGGUGUCUGUCACUAAGGCUGAGCAGAGGGAAGGAUCAGCUCUAUCAACCUGCUGUUCUUGCUCUGCGUGGUAUAGCCCAGGAGUCUGUUGAUCUUUGGUACAAGAGCACAUUGCUGGCUUCUGGUCAACUAGUCCUGGUCAAUAAGCUCUCUCCAGUGCUGCUUUCUAAUGGAUUUAUUAUCAGACUGAUCUGGUACACAGGAUUAUUCCUUUCCAGGGGAUAGAAGUGGCAUUUUCCUUUGCUGAGCUUCCUGAGGUUCCUUUCAAUUCAUUUCCUCAUCCUGCUGAAGUUGACCUCACUUUUUGGUGAGGAACUUGGCUCUGGAGCAGGCGCAUUCCAUGCCAAAGCAGGGAAUUGCCUCAUCUGGUUGAGUGGUAGCUCUGUCAGAGGGCAGCUGCCAGGCACCAUUGUCAUGUAUACAGCAGCGGCAUUCUGACAUCAUGGGGGCGGAGCCAGGAGCAUCAGCGGGGUCACCCCCUGUGUGUAUAAAUCCUGCUACCAGGGAAUGCAGCGACACAGAAGUAGCACCAGCAGGAUAGGCAACCAGCUAGUGCCCUGCAUAUACUCUUCUAAUCUAGACUGUGGCACUCAAUGGAUGGCUAAAGUACAGAGUUGAAGAGAAUUUAAAUACUGUACUUCCACUACAGCUUUAGAGUAGUGUCAGAUUCAGGAACACACCACGUUGAAGGAGUAUCCAUAUCUCCAGGCCAGAACUACUUCCUUUCCAAACUUUGAAAAGCUGUGGAAAAGCCUAUGGAAGCAAUGUUGGAGCCCAGGAUAGCCAGCAACUAAGCAAUGCUCAGGAACACUGGCUCUCCUGUGUUCCUAUUCGUCAUCUAUGUAGUGAUUAAAACAGUACUUUUAGUGGCCAGGUAGGCCAGCACAUCAGUAUCUGAAAUUGCCUUUCUAGUGUAGGAAAAUUGAAUAAAUACAAGUCAGAUCAAGAUUUCUAAUUUUCCACAUCUUCUAUGAUUCUGCACAUUGCAUCUACCUGAAUCUGCCCAAUAAUUACCUUUCAAGGUCAAAGGAAAAAAAAAAAACAAAAAAACUUAAUUUGAUCAUUGCUUUCUUUUGAUGUUGUUUUCAUGUUUGAUCUUAUCCAGGUAGAAAAGUAUUGGCCAGCUCCAAACAGAGGCACAAAUGACCAAGGAGGCUGCAUAAAUAUCAUCUAUGUUUUUUUGGAAUACAAACAAGGAAAGGCUGAUGGGGAAAAGGACAGUCAGCAAUGUAAGCUGUGUAGCUUCUUAAAUAAACACAGCCUACUAAAAACAGUGUAGAUAUUUAACAAAGUAACUGCUAGCAAUGAAGCAAAAUAAUGAGGUAAUGUGUGACAAUAUGCAUCAAUAUAUCAAAAUAUAUCAAAAUGUAAGUUAAUUAUAAACAUUUUGAGAAAAACUGUAUGAUUGUACACACUGCUGGUAUUCACUUAUGACCCACAGGUAAAUAUUAAAAACUUCGGACAAUAGUACCAAAAAUCACUGUAUAGCUGAUAUAUUAACUUGAUGUGCAGUCUUUGCAAUCAGAAACCCCCCAGCUUGGCUACACAGACCAUGAAAUACUGCAUUCAAAGUGUAGUUUCAGUAGCAAAUCAUAAACAGGCUGACAGAGGUAUGUCAAUGAAACCUUAAGAGCAAAAGAGUCAAGUGAAAAAAAGGAAAAUUGUAUCAGUUUAAGCCUUGGCAGCAUAGCUACUACAAACUCUUGGGUCUUUAUCUUAGUCCUGGGAAAAUGGGUUGACUCACCUCAUAAAAACUUUUCCUUUCUUCAAUGAUCUGUCAAGGUCAGGGUGACAGUUAUCACCCAGGACAAUAAGAGCACAGCCAGAACUGAUGGGAGAAUAGAAUCAUAGAAUCACCAAGGUUGGAAAAGACCUACAAGAUCAUCCAGUCCAACUGUCUGCCUAUCACCAAUAGUUCCCCAACACUAAUGCCAGUGGCUUAAGGUGGUAUAAUACUAAGCUAGUCAGAGUCUUUUGAAAACUCAAAUCAUCUGAAUGGCUAAACAACUUCUGCUCUACUGCUUCAGUCAGCUUUUGAUGGCAACUUUGCCUGAGAAAGUAUGCCAGGAUUUGGACAUCUCUAAACUUAUUUAUGCCCUCAUUUAUACUUUCAGGAUAAAAAUAUUUUCUUCUCUUAAUGUUAUCAAUCACAAUCAACAAAAACAAAAAGAAAAAAAAGGAAAAAAAAUCUUUCUGAAUAUUCACAUAUUAUAUAGAACAACAAUUGUUUUCAUGGGCUUUUAAUGAGAUUUAGCUUUAGAAAGACUUGACUGUGAGACAAUAAAAUUUCCACAAGAAGCUCAGAAGUACUAACUGCACUCGAGAAACAGACAACUUCUGUCUGAUACACUGCUCACCCUCCAA